rnacentral:misc_RNA from 1 species
CCGAUGUGGUUGGUGGUGGUGGUGGAACUGGUGGGCAAUAAUGCAAAAUGAUCGAGCGGAUGGCUGGCUGUGGGAUGGGUGUCCAUGUUCACCACGAACAAGAUUCUGCACCAGUACUGUGUACUGCCAUUGCGAGGGUAGUCCAUGGCUAGCUCCAUGCAUGCACUGUUCUAGCCUAAGCCUAACCUUUUCUUGCCUCCACUUGCCCGAAGCUCUCGAUCAGCUGCGUCAGGUUCUCAUACGAGGAGCCUCCUUUCUCCAUGGCGCCGUGAGCUUUCUCCCCGUACUCCCUGGCUCUCCGCCUCCUCUCGCCGGUCUCUUCCCCUUGGCCCAUCAGCGCCGACACCGCCCGCGCGACGUCCCCACGCGCCACCACCACGCUCUCGUCGUCGAACACCAUCACGGGCGCCGUCACGCCGAUGGGCACGCCCACGCCGAGCACGUCCACCGCCAGCCGCUCGUUCAGGAACUGGUCGGCGAAGUGGGACCACGUGACCACCGGGAUGCCGUGCGCGACGGACUCCAGCAGCGAGUUCCAUCCGCAGUGGGUGACGAAGCCCCCCACGGCGCGGUGGGACAGGAUGGCGAGCUGCGGCGCCCACCCACGCACCACGAGACCCCGCCCCGCCGCGCGCGCCUCCAGGGCCCCCAGCCACUCCCGCACCUCCGGCGGGGACGCCUCGGCCUGCUUCACCACCCACAGGAACGGCCUGCCGGAGUCCUCCAGGCCAUGCCCCACCUCGAACAGCUGCUUCGGGAGCUUCCGCGCGAGGCUGCCGAAGCUGACGAACACGACGGAGCCGGUAUCCUUGGAGUCGAGCCAGGCGGCUACCGCGCUGUGCUGCUGGACGCGGACGCCGACGCCGCCGUCCGCCCCCCGCGACGACAUGGUGUCGGCGUCCCGGUUGCGGAGGCAGAGCGGCCCCAGCGUCCACACGGGUUUGCCGAGCGCCGCCUCGUAGCACGACACGAACUGGCCCUCGAGGCCCACGAACGUGUUCACCACCGCGCCGUCGGCCGCGCGCAUGGCCUCCACGCACUCGCCCCGGAGCGCCUCCCACCCCGGCGAGUUGAAGAAGCCCGGCGCCGUGGCCUUGGUCACCUCUACGUGCACCGGCAUGCCCGGCACCACGAACCUCUCCUGCCCGUCGUCGACGUCAGCCGCCGCCGCCGCCGCGGCCAGCUCGCGUAACCCGUGGUCGGUGGCGUUGAGGUCGCAGAGCGAGUAGAAACACGGCGGCCCGUGGAAGAAGAGGCGAUGGAUCCCGAGGCUUCUGGCCGCGCCGGCCGCACACGGGUUGCACCAGUCGGAGACGAUGCAGCUCGGGCGCGGCGCCUGCGCUCGCAGGUACGCUUCCAGCGGGCCGGCGAGCUUCUGCAGAGCGUCGAACAGGGGGACGAAGUGGCCGUUGUCCGUGACCUGGUCCAUGUUCUCGAUGCCCGGGGGCAGGCCGUCCACGUCCGUCGGGAACGGGAGCUCCACGAUCUCGAGGGGCAGCUUGGCGCGCGCGGCCUGCUCGGCGACGCCACGCAGCCGUGCGCCGUUCAGCGGUGUCGUCACCAGGCUCGCGCGCGCACCGCGCUCCGCCAGGAGGAGGGCGAGGUCGACCAUGGGGAUGGUGUGGCCCUGCGCCACGAGGGGGACGAUAACGAAGUGAGGUGGCGGCGGUGGUGGCGCUGGCGUAUCAGCAGCCGAUUCAUCCGUGGGCGCCAUGGACGACGUGCGUGCUAAUUAAGCUAGCUGCCUGCCAAGGACCUCGGGCGGGCACCGCAUGAAUGGUGUAGGAAAUAGAGUGUGUAGCCUGUGAGUAGAAGUGUCGAGGUGCAGCACAUAAUUUAUAUAGCCAUGUGAGGGCGCUUUUUUUCCUUUCCACAAGUAGGCUCCUCCCAUGUUUUUCAGCCAAAAUUUGCCAAACAUUUUGGCUGAUGUUGUCAUUUGUGAGGACAUAUUUUUACAAGCUUGGGUUUUUCUAGAAUAGAACAUAUGGG